UAACCUGCCCAAGAGAUCGGGAUAACACCUGGAAACAGAUGCUAAUACCGGAUAACAACAGAUGAUGCCUAUCAACUGUUUAAAAGAUGGUUCUGCUAUCACUCUUGGAUGGACCUGCGGUGCAUUAGCUAGUUGGUAGGGUAACGGCCUACCAAGGCGAUGAUGCAUAGUCGAGUUGAGAGACUGAUCGGCCACAUUGGGACUGAGACACGGCCCAAACUCCUACGGGAGGCAGCAGCG
rnacentral:rRNA from 1 species